CAAGCUACCCCUAGGCAUACAUUAGGUUAUAUUACUUAUCUUACUGGAGAUGGGCCUGAUCAGCCACAACCAAAGAUGGCUUUUACUGGGGACGCUUUACUAAUACGGGGAUGUGGGAGAACUGAUUUUCAGGGCGGAAGUUCACAUCAACUUUAUCAGUCAGUGCAUU